CUGCUAGGGCGGGUGGGGGCGGGGCGGCGAGGAGAGGUCAAGGCCCCGACAGGCCGCCUACGGGCUUGUGCUUUUCGAUCCGGCCGACUCGAGGGGCUUGGGAUUCCGGGGAGCUCCGGGGGUCUAGGGGCCCGGAGUCCCAGGAACUCCAGAGUUCUUGGGGGGGGGGGGGCCCGGGGGCCUCGGAAGGUCUCAGGGUCUUGGGGAUCUCAGGGGCCGGGGAACUCCAGGACUCUGGGGUUCUCGAGGGCCCAGGGCGGUCUCAGGGCGGGGUGUUUGCCUCAGGAUCCCGGAGGAUUCGGGGCACCGUGGUCGUGGCCUGCUGGCGUGGGCUCCCCAGGAACCGACGCCCUGGUUUUGCGUUUUCUGCGGCCUACACCGACUCUGGACUUGUGAAUGCAGCGAAAUCUUAAUGAAUGAGUAAUGCGACAGCAGAGUCGUCUGCGGGGUGGGGGCUACCAAUCUCCCCACCCCGGCCCCGGCCCCGCCCCCGCCCCCGGUCUGCGAAGCCAGAUCCAGGUCCCCUGACGGUUGCCUUGCAUGCAUUCCUCUGAAAAAACAGAUAUUUCCAGUCCCAACUUCUCUCUCAAUGCCAGUCUGACAUUAUCAAUCAAUUGUGAAAUGCCCACCUGUGUGAUUUCAGAUGUGUCAAACCGGGCAUUUCUGAAAAUCAAAAAUUCGUCUUCUCCCUGUAAGUAGACCUAUCCUCACGCUGCCAUGCCAGAGGGCAGCCUGCGCCCUGACUCCCCUGAAGACUGCAGAAAAAGGACUUGCUAAGUCCCAAGAACACAGGGCAGAGAAGACAAAGCCUGAUCCAAGGCAGAGGGUUGCAAUUAGCCCCACAAAGUGCAUUAGGAACAUCAAGGGGGGGGCCGGUGGAGACAAGCCCUCUGGCAUCUGACAGAGGAGAAAGUUGAUAAGGGAGGUGCAUCUGGACACUUACUACUGUAACUUCUGCUAACAGUGUGGCGACUCCCUCAGGUAACACAUGUGGUAAGCCUAUGGACUUGUGACCAUGUGCUGAGCACUAUUCGAAGCGCUUAACUACGUAUUAACUCACUUAAUUCCUACAACCCCACAAGGCGGGUGGGUAAACCAAGGCACAGGAAGCUGCUCACUAGCCUGUGGUCAAACAGUUAACGGUGGCAGAGUUGGGUUUGAACCCAGGUGGCCUGGCCCAGCAUUUUUGUUCUUGACCAUUAGCUGUUCUGCUUCUCCGUCACCUUCUCAGAUCCUUUCAACAAGUCCUAUUGUUGUUACAGAAACUUCCUAUGUUCUGAAGUUGAAAAUAAUUUUGAAUCACGAUUCUCUCAGUUAUUAACUAUAAUGCCCUUUUUUGUGUUAUCAGGAGGUUAGAUAAAUAUGCCUCCUAUGUCUCCGUGGCACUUGCACAGAAAGCCUCUGGGAUGAUCAGGACUCUGUGGCCACAGUCACCUGCUGAACUGCUGGACAGCCCCGCAGAACUCUGCUGGUGCCCUUCCUCUCCCUCGGGUGCCCGUGACUUCCCUCAGCCCCUCCCGUCGCCCUCACGCUUACGUGGCUGGAUCCUCCUUGAAAAUCCAAUAUUUAGAACAGUUGAAGCCUAUUUGGUCACGUAGAACAGAAGAGGAACCGUUCUUUGAAAGAAACCCAAAACAGGACUCUUGACAAAGAGCAAAUACAUUAACAUGUGUGUCAGAAAAGAAAUGUGAGGUAAUUUUGUAAAUCUUAUCAGUGAAAAACUGACAGGCCUUUCAUAUUUUUACUGUUCUCUCAUGAAUUUGGAAUCAUAUUUGCCAAAAAAACAAUAAACACUUGCCAUGGUGAAGAGUCCAAGGCCUCAAGUCCCCACCCCAGCUCUGCCCUGUACAAGCUGCAUGUGCUGUGGUGGGUGAGUCAGCUCCACGGAGCCCUGGCCCCUCUUUGCCAAGUGGAGAAAUCAUGUCCACCCCCAAAGGAUUGUUUACGGUGAUUAGUUAAGGUAUGUGCACAAAAGCAUACGGCAUAAAGUAAGAGAUGUUAAUAUGAGGGGUGACUUUAACAUAAUUUUAUAUGAAAACUUUAUUGGGUCAGCACAAGGUAAUGUACUUCAUUGCCAUGAAGUAUAUUAAAUGUUAGAUAUCUUUUUUUUUAAUGUUUAUUUUUUGAGAGAGACAGAGGGUGAGCGAGGGAGGGACAGAGGGAGAGGGAGACACAGAAUCCGAGGCAGGCUCCAGGCUCCAAGCUGUCAGCACAGAGCCCGACACGGGGUUCGAACUCACAAGCUGUGAGAUCAUGACCUGAGCUGAAGUCGGACACUUAACUGACUGAGCCACCUAGGCGUCCCACUUUUUCUUUUUUUAAUGUUUAGUUAUUUUUAGGAGAGAGAGACAGAGACAGAGAGAGAGACAGAGAGAGAGAGGGAGUGGGGGAAGGGCAGAGAGAGAGGGAGAUGCAGAAUCCAAAGAAGGCUCCAGGCUCUGAGCUGUCAGCACAGAACUUGACACAGGGCUUGAACCCAUGUACCGUGAAAUCAUGACCCGAUCCGAAGUCGGACACUUAACUGAUUGAACCAGCCAAGUAUAUUAAAUGCCAGAUUUCUUACCAGAGAUACUCAGCUCCCACAUGUGGCAAUGAAAUCAUCCCUCCGAGCGCGUCGUCAUGCACACUCUGAGUUCUUUGCUAGCUUUGUAAGGGACAAGAACCAGCACAUGAACAGAAGAGACGUGUGGAACACCCUCCGGUCAUCGUGCAUCUAUGGGUGUGACGUUGGAGGAGGGGCUGUGGGAAAACGAGGCCACUCGCAGGAGCUGCGCAGCCGGGAGGCGUGUCUGAACGCCCAAGCCGCGCGGUCCGGAGCCGCACAGCCGGGAGGAGGUGCCCAGCAUCGCACACCACCUGCGUGGUGAUGAGAAUCAUCGUCCUUCCCUUUGCACCUGCCCUUUGCCUGGCUCAGCGUGGCUUCCUGGGGACAGGUGUGUGUCCCGAAGCACUAAGAGGCUGCUGGUGUCUGGGGGCCCUUUUAGAGGAGAUUCGGAAAAGCCACCUGCAGCGAAGGCAGGUCACCAAUUCUUGAGCUGAUUUCCACCGUGUUUGAAGAUGUCUGGUGACUCGGGCUCCUCAGAGGGUGAGCCUUGUGGCGGAAGUAAGCCUUGGCUGUGGCGAAGGACCCUCAAGGGUGCCCUGCGGUGCUUUCCGGCGACUUCCGCCAGUCGGGGUCCGUCACGGCAACAGGCUGUCUUCCAUGCCUGUCGUGCGGAAUUGGUCUUCUCUGUUGUACUUUCUUGUUGCUGUGAUUGUCACAGAUGAAAAGUACGUUUUGCAGCAGAAUCUGUGCCUGGGGAAUGUGAUCAAACUUCUUGCCUAAAAGGA